rnacentral:rRNA from 1 species
AUUGAACGCUGGCGGCAUGCCUUACACAUGCAAGUCGAACGGCAGCACGGGUGCUUGCACCUGGUGGCGAGUGGCGAACGGGUGAGUAAUACAUCGGAACAUGUCCUGUAGUGGGGGAUAGCCCGGCGAAAGCCGGAUUAAUACCGCAUACGAUCUACGGAUGAAAGCGGGGGACCUUCGGGCCUCGCGCUAUAGGGUUGGCCGAUGGCUGAUUAGCUAGUUGGUGGGGUAAAGGCCUACCAAGGCGACGAUCAGUAGCUGGUCUGAGAGGACGACCAGCAACACUGGGACGGAGACACGGCCCAGACUCCUACGGGAGGCAGCAGUGGGGAAUUUCGGACAAUGGGCGAAAGCCUGAUCCAGCAAUGCCGCGUGUGUGAAGAAGGCCUUCGGGUUGUAAAGCACUUUUGUCCGGAAAGAAAUCCUUGGCCCUAAUACGGUCGGGGGAUGACGGUACCGGAAGAAUAAGCACCGGCUAACUACGUG